rnacentral:misc_RNA from 1 species
CAAAGCAAAAGGGUAUAGCCUUACUCAGCAGUUCAUAGCAAAAAAUAAUCAAGGCUCGACCCAUCCAUCAAUAAAACCAAGUUAAAAUCCAAAAGUCGAUUACACAGGUAUACAAGUCUAUAAUAGAGAUGGAAAGGAAAAUGAAAACAAUUGCAUCAAAAAAGUGGACCUCGACACAAUCACAGGAAGCUGACAUUCAAAGAAGUUCGAAGGCAGUCCCAGUGCUGAGUAUGCUCUCUCCUCUAUCCAGCAAGAUGUUGCCUCUGUGAAAGGCUCUCCUUAGCUUGCUAGAAGUUGGAACUCAGGGAUACUACUAAGCCCUGGAUAUGAGUUUCUUGUUCUGACCAAAGCCUAGAGAUGUUGACUAGCUAAGCCAUGGUGUUACGAGCCUCAACAUACUCUUUCUGUAAUUCUGCAAUGAGCUUGGCUAUCCUCUAUUCUCUAGCCUGGAGUUCAGUUUUGAGCUGAACACCUGUGUCACUAUGAGCAAGGAUGGUAGCUUCUACCUGUUUAGCCUUUGUCUUGCAAUCCUAGAACUCUUUCAACUGUUGUUCUAAGGAGAUAUCGUCUAAAGUAACUCCUUCAGAGCUCUUAAAGAGAUGUGUCAGAUCUGUAUGGAGAGUUCGUAGAUGGGCUCGAACAUUGUUAGAUAAGGGAAUCUAUAGCAGAAGUGUAAUCGAGCUGUUAGCAUGUGCAAGGCCAUUAGCAGAUAGUUGAUCUAAUAGCAGAGCCAAAAUUUGACAGAAGCACUCCUGAGCUUCCCAGACUAUAGCUGGAUUAAGCAUAGGAUCUAAUGAUGGUGAAGUAAUUGCUAAGGUGGAUAAGAACAAGAGAUCCUAUCUGGCCAGUGGACUCUUAAACUUAGAGAACUUUGACAACCUUGAAGGCAAUAGUUGUAAAGCUAGAAGGAUCCUUUUUGGGACUGUUGCCAGAUUCAUAAGUUGGUCUAUAGGAUCCUCAUCAAUAGAUAUAAAACCAAGCACCAAUUCUUCAACCUGAAGCAUAGCAUAAACUUCAUCAACAUAUUUCAUUAGGCUGUCAUCCUGGCUAGUGAGAGGUCGAAAGUCAGAAGAAGUAAGUGUAGCUAGUGGCUUCACAAUUGAGAUAUCUAAUGGAGCCUAAGGAGUCUGUUCUAGAAUAUCAUAGCCAAUAAUGUCAAUAGUCUCUGACAAGCUGACUCCACCUGGAGGUAGAUGCUCUAUAAUAUGGAAUGAUCACUAGAGAGGUGAGGUAACCUUGGUAGAACUCUAUGGCAUGUUGAUCUUAAUCAUGGAUGGAGUGGCAGUUGGCUCUGCUUUCUUUGGGGUUGGAGAGUUUAAUGCAUGACCUAAUUGGGGAAUGAGGAAAGUCUUUGCUCGAAUCUUCCACCAUUCAGAGAACUCAAGAAUGUCAUAAGCUAAAAGGGACUAAUGUUCUCUAGUCCUCACUGGUCGCAUGACUAAUGUCAUUUGCUAAAGUGUAUCUCAUCCUAUUAGCAAAGGCUAGCCCAUCAGACAGCAAAAAGGUAAGUGAUAACCUAAACAUAUCCUAGCUGACGUGCAAACAAGUAGUGAAGAUAUAGCUCAUAGCCAUAAAGAGAAGUACAAGGCCAACUGAAGGCCAGUAAGAGCUGCUACAACUCUCAAAGUGAUAGACAUGGGUCCCAAUACAAGUAACAGUUGCAAUGUCAGGACUAGAGUGGUAAUAGAGCAGUCAACAGUGGUUCAUCACAGACAACAUUAACCAAGCUCAAGUUUAUCAGCCUCAUCAAGUGCAUAUUUUUCCAUGUUUACUCAUUUUUGGGGCAAGGCAUUCAACUCAUUCUGUCUAGCUAUCAUGUAGUUGGGGCUAUGAUUUCAUGCAACCAAGGUCCCAUGAAGCAGAUUGUUUGCCCAGAAGAAUCUCAUAUGAGCUAGAUAAUGGAUAGGGCAGGACACAUUGAGCAGCUUCAUCAAAGGUAGCAACUGGGUAUAAAUAAGAAUAAAGAGGAUUAAAAGAAAUGAUAAUGGUGGCCCUAUUCAAGGAAGAAUAAGAGCAAGUUAUGGUGUGAACAUUGAAAGAUAGGUUGAUGGUGAUAAUAAUACACUUCCCCGGGGGUCAUUUGGAAUAACAGUAGCAGCCAGUGGUGGAUUGGCUUGAGGAUUGGAUAGGCCCAUGGAAGAAAGUUUAGCUACAGUGAUUUGUGAAAACGAAAUAGCUAGCUCAGAAAAAAAGCAUUUGAGAAGCAAGUCAUGUAACACCCCGAACCUCCAAGCUCUAAAUAGUAUCAUUUUUGGUCUGUAACUAGUACUAUUCAAAGACACUUUGAGGACAAAAAAAAAAGGGAAAUUAAUUGAGAUAGACACAAUAAAAAUUCAAGUGAACUAAAGACCUAAGGACUCAUCGGGUAUUAUGAAAAAGAAGGAUUAUGACUCGAUGAGGGGCAUUUUGGUCAAUUCACUUAAAGAGUUGAUUUUUACCAAAAUGUUAAUUAAAUUAAAUGAAAAUAAUAUAUUGAAUUAUGAAGAAAUUUUGAGGAAAAAUUAAGUAUAAAUGUAAAAAGAAAAGAAAUAAAAACUUAAGUUUAAUUACCUUUAUGACACAAUUAAAAUUUUGAUUUAAAUAAACUAAUUUUUAGGGAGAAAUAUAUAAGAGACAAGACAAUUAACUAAAAUUAAAAAAAAAAAAAGUCAUUUCCCUUCUUCUUUCCUUCAUGUGCCACCACCCUCUCCCACACUCUCUCUCUCUCUUUUCUUCAAUCCAACAUCAAUAAUCCCUCUCAACCCUUGAUUUCCCACCUUUCAUCUAUGGGUUUUCCACCUAAUUAGCAGAAAACAACAAAGUGCUCUUUGAUUGAAGGAUUUAAGCAAGAAGAACAAGAGAUUUGGAAGAGAAAUUGAAGAUUAGAAAACCUUAAUUAAAGGUAAGUCUCCCUUCCAACCUAAAUUAGCUUAAGCUCAUGGAAUUAAGGUUGAACUAGUGAAAAUAAUAUGAAAAAUGAAAGAAUUAUUGAUUGAAAUUUACACCAUGAAAUUUUGGUCCACUUUGGGAAAACUUGAGGUUUGAUGUGUUUUAGCUAAAUUGAUGAUAAAUUCAAGUUUAAUUAAAGUAGUAUACAUGUUUGGGGUAGUGAAAUUUUAUGGGAAUUUCAUAAAUUAGAAAAUGGAAUAUUAGGGUUCAUGGGAAAUUAGGGCUUUUAUGUGGUGCUAUGCAAUUAAGGUUUAUAGGACCUAAUUAUGGUCAUUUGAGGUGCCUUGAGGGUGAAUUGACAUUUAUAGGAUGAAUGGAAGUAAUGAAAUGGUAUGGAUUAGGGAAAUUGCAAACUAGGGUUUUGGAAAAUUUAGGAGUUUUGGAAAAUAAAGUGCUAAGGAUGUAUUAAUGUUAAAUUAUGAUCAUUUGGGGUGAAUUAAAUGUGAAUUGAGGAUAUUUAGUGGAAGUAAUUAAGGGAAGUGACAAUUGAACCUUAAGGCAGAAUUUCUAGACACUGAGUCUAGUGUGCUUGGCAGCUCAUAAGUUGAGCUACAUAACUCCAAUUGGUGUAAAAUCAUUUGGAAAUGAAACUUAAGACAUAGGAUAGAACUUUCAUGAAGAUACCUUACCCAUAAAAUGACCUUAAGCUGCCCUAAAUGAGCCUUGAACCUAGAGGUGGAAUUCUGGACACUGACAGUGUGACCACGUAAAUAGUAAACUUUGCAUUAUCAUAACUCUCUCUAGAAAACUCCAAUUUAGGUGAUUCUUGAAUUGAUGGAAACCUGAAACAUAGUAGAAUAUUUCAUAUG